rnacentral:rRNA from 1 species
UACGUAGGGGGCUAGCGUUGUCCGGAUUUAUUGGGCGUAAAGAGCGUGUAGGCGGCCAGGUAGGUCUGCUGUGAAAACUCGAGGCUCAACCUCGAGACGUCGGCGGAAACCAUCUGGCUAGAGUCCGGAAGAGGAGAGUGGAAUUCCUGGUGUAGCGGUGAAAUGCGCAGAUAUCAGGAAGAACACCCGUGGCGAAGUCGGCUCUCUGGGACGGUACUGACGCUGAGACGCGAAAGCGUGGGGAGCGAACAGG